GACGAACGCUGGCGGCGUGCCUAAUACAUGCAAGUUGAGCGCUGAAGGUUGGUCCUUGUACCAACUGGAUGAGCAGCGAACGGGUGAGUAACGCGUGGGGAAUCUGCCUUUGAGCGGGGGACAACAUUUGGAAACGAAUGCUAAUACCGCAUAAAAACUUUAAACACAAGUUUUAAGUUUGAAAGAUGCAAUUGCAUCACUCAAAGAUGAUCCCGCGUUGUAUUAGCUAGUUGGUGAGGUAAAGGCUCACCAAGGCGAUGAUACAUAGCCGACCUGAGAGGGUGAGCGGCCACAUUGGGACUGAGACACGGCCCAAACUCCUACGGGAGGCAGCAGUAGUGAAUCUUCGGCAAUGGACGAAAGUCUGACCGAGCAACGCCGCGUGAGUGAAGAAGGUUUUCGGAUCGUAAAACUCUGUUGGUAGAGAAGAACGUUGGUGAGAGUGGAAAGCUCAUCAAGUGACGGUAACUACCCAGAAAGGGACGGCUAACUACGUG
rnacentral:rRNA from 1 species